rnacentral:rRNA from 1 species
GAUGAACGCUAGCGAUAGGCUUAACACAUGCAAGUCGAGGGGCAGCAUGGUCUUAGCUUGCUAAGACUGAUGGCGACCGGCGCACGGGUGCGUAACGCGUAUGCAACUUGCCUCACAGAGGGGGAUAACCCGUCGAAAGACGGACUAAUACCGCGUACACUUGGGAUAGGGCAUCCUGACCCAAGGAAAUGAAAUUCGCUGUGAGAUAGGCAUGCGUCCCAUUAGCUAGUUGGUGAGAUAACGGCUCACCAAGGCGACGAUGGGUAGGGGAGCUGAGAGGUUGAACCCCCACACUGGUACUGAGACACGGACCAGACUCCUACGGGAGGCAGCAGUGAGGAAUAUUGGUCAAUGGGCGAGAGCCUGAACCAGCCAAGUCGCGUGAAGGAUGACUGUCUUAUGGAUUGUAAACUUCUUUUAUACGGGAAUAACAAGAGCCACGUGUGGCUCCCUGCAUGUACCGUAUGAAUAAGCAUCGGCUAACUCCGUG